GCCGUGAAAACUUCAAAUUCUACAGAGAAAAUUUAUAGUUAACACUUUCCUUCUCCACUUGUACCACAGUUGUCUCUUUAUCAGUACUCAUAUCCCUUAUCACACUCAAUAAACAGAAGCCUAAAGCUGAGACGAAAUGUAGCCAUUAUCUUCUGUUAGACACAUUCCAAGCUGUUUUCGCUGAUAAUUUGCCAUAACGGUUCAACUUCUUCGUUCAUGUACAGCCAGAGAAAAUCUAAGAGCACGAGAGAAAACUCAGACUCUUUUCGCCUGACGUCAAGCAAUCAUCACAAUAUGAUAUAUAAGCCAUUAUUUAUGCAUUCUGUUCACAAGUGUGGAGCAGCGUGAUCAAACUGGCGGCCCGCGGGACACAUCCGGCCUUAGACAUCUUGUAACCAGCACCGCGAAAUAAUUGUUUAAUUUGUUACUAGUUACUACAGGCUAAUUUACUAAAAAAGCCUCCAAAAUUAAAAAAUCAUUAUUCGUAUCUUGUCUGCUGCUUGUCGGACAUAAGGCACACAUGGUACCGACUUCAAACCCCUACCGUAAAACGCAAGCUUUCCAGGCAGAAAUGUGUCAGGUCACCCACCGGAAGAACGCGCACAACUCCCGCCCACAUCAACAGAGUGCCGGCCGACCACGCAAUGCAAGCACGACCGCAGCCUCAUAAAAUGCAGACCCGGUACUUAUACUUGGAGCAAUGAUUUAUUUUGUAUUAAAUGACUCUGUAUAUGAUGUGUACGCGAAAAUAAAAUGGAUUAAACUCUG